AUUGAACGCUGGCGGCAUGCUUUACACAUGCAAGUCGAACGGCAGCGGGGUAGUGCUUGCACUACUGCCGGCGAGUGGCGUACGGGUGAGUAAUAUAUCGGAACGUACCGAGUAAUGGGGGAUAACCAAUCGAAAGAUUGGCUAAUACCGCAUACGUCCUGAGGGAGAAAGCGGGGGAUCGCAAGACCUCGCGUUAUUCGAGCGGCCGAUAACUGAUUAGCUAGUUGGUGGGGUAAAGGCCUACCAAGGCGACGAUCAGUAGCGGGUCUGAGAGGACGAUCCGCCACACUGGGACUGAGACACGGCCCAGACUCCUACGGGAGGCAGCAGUGGGGAAUUUUGGACAAUGGGGGCAACCCUGAUCCAGCCAUGCCGCGUGUAUGAAGAAGGCCUUCGGGUUGUAAAGUACUUUUGUUAGGGAAGAAAAGGGAAGUGCUAAUACCACUUUUUGCUGACGGUACCUAAAGAAUAAGCACCGGCUAACUACGUG
rnacentral:rRNA from 1 species